rnacentral:rRNA from 1 species
UACGGGGGGGGCAAGCGUUGUCCGGAUUUACUGGGCGUAAAGAGCGCGCAGGCGGUCGUUCAAGUCGAAUGUGAAAGCCCCCGGCUCAACUGGGGAGGGUCAUUCGAUACUGAUCGACUCGAAGGCAGGAGAGGGUAGUGGAAUUCCCGGUGUAGUGGUGAAAUGCGUAGAUAUCGGGAGGAACACCAGUGGCGAAGGCGACUACCUGGCCUGUUCUUGACGCUGAGGCGCGAAAGCUAGGGGAGCAAACGGG